rnacentral:rRNA from 1 species
GACGAACGCUGGCGGCGUGCUUAACACAUGCAAGUCGAACGGUGAAGGGAUCAGCUUGCUGGUUCUGGAUGAGUGGCGAACGGGUGAGUAACACGUGAGUAACCUGCCCCCUUCUUCUGGAUAACCGCAUGAAAGUGUGGCUAAUACGGGAUAUUCUGCGCCUGCUGCAUGGUGGGUGUGGGAAAGAUAUUGUUUCGGUGGGGGAUGGGCUCGCGGCCUAUCAGCUUGUUGGUGGGGUGAUGGCCUACCAAGGCGGUGACGGGUAGCCGGCCUGAGAGGGUGGACGGUCACACUGGGACUGAGACACGGCCCAGACUCCUACGGGAGGCAGCAGUGGGGAAUAUUGCACAAGGGGCGCAAGCCUGAUGCAGCGACGCCGCGUGAGGGAUGGAGGCCUUCGGGUUGUGAACCUCUUUCGCCAGUGAAGCAGGCCUGUCCCUUGUGGGUGGGUUGACGGUAGCUGGAUAAGAAGCGCCGGCUAACUACGU